ensembl:snoRNA small nucleolar RNA SNORD35
GGCGCGUGAUGCCCUUCUCUCACGAUGGUCUGCUGAGCCCCACGCAGGGCCCUGAGGACAGCGCCACACGGCUCUGCUGAUGCCACGCG